CGUUCUAUGGCCGAAUAAGUAAAGGCUUCAGCGAUCACAGGCGAGAAUGCGGGUUCGAGUCCCGCUUGAACGG
rnacentral:tRNA from 1 species